UCCUCCUUCAGUUCCUGUUCUCUUGAUGAUUUCUGCAUUGAUGAGACCGAUGUUUCCAUCCUGCAGUGCUUUCAACCAAGAAUAAAAUCAACUCAAAAAGCGAUGAAGUGAUUGAGUCAACAAUAAUGAACCACAUGGGAACAUUACUGUAGAGUAAAAUG